CUGUUAAUAAUUUCAGAAGUCAUGAUUACAUCCAGAUACUGGUUAUAAUAUACAAUUUCAGAACUAACUCGUGAAUCAAUUUAACAUUAUUUAUCUUUAAUGCAGGCAUGGUCUCCUGCAUAAAGAAAAUGGUAAUAACUUUGCAUAUUACCACAACAAUAUUGUUAGAGCAUUUACAUAAAAUAGAGCUGCUUAUACACCAGAAAUCGUUCUUUUCCAGUGCUCAAUAUGUACAACAGGGAUAUGUUUGUCAAUUCAAUUUCACAACUUUGGGAACAAAUGUAUUCGGGUCUUUACUGGAAACAAUAUAUCUACUGCUAGAUGAACUGGACGAUGAAAUUGAACAAGUGAAAGGAAACGAGUGUUAAUUCAACAAAGGUCUUUUGAUGCUUUUGAUUUUUUUUUUAUUUCUUAUUUUACUUUACGCUCAUGAAACUUUUUAGUGGUAACCAAGCUUGUAGAAGCCUCGAUGAAAGAUGACAGAACUGCAUAAUGCUGGCCAACCAUGAGAAGUAACAUUAGAGGUAUAUUGGAGGCAAGGGUUGAAAUACUGGUUCAUACCUGUCCGCACCAGGCAUUUAAGAUUUUGUGCCACUAGGGACUUGGUACUUGAUACAUCCCUUGGUAUUUUGCUGUACCAGCACACAGCAGUUGGUAUCACCUUUCUGGGCCAGCACCAAAUAUCAGACCAUGUCUUGACAUGGUACAGUAUGUAUCAAUACCCUAUGCACCAGUCCCCAAUUAGAACCACCAAUUCAAACCUUUACUACACAAGUAGCCAUAAAGUUCAGCAUGCUAAGAAGUUACACAUGAAACAAAGCUAUUAACAUCUUUUGUGCAUCCUAAUAAUCAGUAUAAACAUCGUCAAAGAAGGAGGGUAAUAUCUUGUACAAUAUGAUGAAUCAAUGAAAACAGAAUCAAGUGCAUGGCACUAUCAAAUAGGAUUGAGUAAUAAAUGAUUACUUUAGGCUUCUGAAAUGGGCAAGUGGAAAAACAAGGGAAAAAACUGCAAAAAUAUAGUUACAGAGAACAAUUAUCCUGAUAUCCAAGCUAAUGUGCAUCUAAAUAUACAUAGACAACAAUGGAGGUGGUUUGAUGUAAAAAUUGCAUCCAAGAUUAAUGUAAAUAAUAUCACAAGAUUCUUGCCCUCAUCAAGAAAAGAAGACAUCUAAAAGAAUGAAUAUGUUGGCAGACCAGAUUAAUUGUUUAUGUGAUUCAAUCAUGAGAAUGAUAGUGUAGAGCUCCAACCAUGCUACAGUACAUGAAUCGAUAUGAAAACAGUUUGCAGUCAAAAGACAAAAGUACCAUCAGUGGAAAGAUUAUAGAAAUCUUAUAAAUUGGUAUUAUUAUGAGACUUUGAAGCACACAUUCGAGCUGAGUAAGUAUUAAUCAACUUGGGGAAUUGCCUCAACCUGAAGUUAAUUAACGCAGAUCCUGAGCACCAGCAUGGUCAUAUUUUUAGUCCCACAUCACGUGCGUUUUGGGGAGGUCUUGGGUAUCUAAGUAGGGCCAAAGAUCCUAAAUAAUACCUUUUGUCUAGGCUUUUCCAGUAAGUCCUGGAUUAUUACACAGAUCCCCUGGGUCUCUCAUCUCAAAUAGGCAACGAAUCAUUGCCUUGAGAGAUGGCAACAGUGGGCGGCCCAAUCACUUCUGGUUAUAAUUAGCUGUGAUGAUAUAUCAUCCACACAGAAAACAGCUGAAAGCGUAGAGGACGAUCAAUGAAUGUGCACAGUGAACAUAAACCAUAACCCAGGAAAGCAAUAAUACAGAAACAAUUAAGCAAGCCUUAAGAAUUUGUUGAGCUAGCCUACUAAAGUUGUUGCAUUGUUCUUAUCAAAGUCAGAGUGCCACACAAAGAAUAUCAAAGAAAGGUGCUGCAUUAAUCAAAUUAUAAGUGAAGCGGAGAAGCUAGACCAAGAUAAGUUGUAGAUUUUAUUUCAAGUAUCAAGGAAUUACAUGUUGUAUAACAGCAAGAGAUCUCAAUGUUAAAAGCACUUUGCUGAAUCACCUGUAAAGGCAAAAUGAUACAACAUGAGAUCAUCCAGCCUUGAGGCCAUCAGUAUCUACCGUACCUUCUCAGCUAGAUAAAAUGCUGAGAAAUGAAUCCUUUAAAAUAGUCAAUAAAGAAGUAUCGUAAAAGAGUUUCCCUCCUGGCUCUAACGAGAGCAAUCCUUAAUUUAUUGCUCAUUAAAUAAAUUAUGAGGAUCUACCUCAGUCCGCUUAUAGCAGCUCAAUUAGCCUUGUAAGAAAGUCUAAGACAAAAUGUUUUUCUACUUUCAAAAUAUUUUGGGAUGGGAAGCAUCAUAAAUUGAGGAUAAGAUGGGAGCAAACUCUCAAAUCAAAAUAUUAGAGUCCUUUUUCCAUUCAUACCGGACAUGUGGUGCCUAUACUAAAAAUCAAUAACAAAGGGAAGGUGGCAAAAAACGAAACUAGCAUCAUGAGAUAUGCCAAUUCCAAACCCAAUCUGCACAUCUACGAUGGCAAGCUGUUUUGAUGUAUGUUGAUGGACCUAACCUGUUGCGAAGUCUUGAAAAUGAGAGCUGUGUGAACUCCAGAUGCUUGGAGGUAAAUUACUGCAGAAUAUGAGAAUUAUUCUAUGAAAGAAUCUCCCCCAACUCAUCCCUCCAGCCCCGCCAAGCGCCUCGUCC
rnacentral:lncRNA from 1 species